GAUGAACGCUGGCGGCGUGCCUACUACAUGCAAGUUGAGCGAAUGGAUCAAGAGCUUGCUCUUAUGAAGUUAGCGGCGGACGGGUGAGUAACACGUGGGUAACCUGCCCAUAAGACUGGGAUAACUCCGGGAAACCGGGGCUAAUACCGGAUAACAUUUUGAACCGCAUGGUUCGAAAUUGAAAGGCGGCUUCGGCUGUCACUUAUGGAUGGACCCGCGUCGCAUUAGCUAGUUGGUGAGGUAACGGCUCACCAAGGCAACGAUUGGUAGCCGAGCUGUGAGGGUAAUCGGUCACGCUGGGACUGAGACACGGCCCGGACUCCGACGGGAGGCAGCAGUAGGGAAUCUUCCGCAAGGGACGAAAGUCUGACUGAGCAACGCCGCGUGGGUGAUGAAGGCUUUCGGGUCGUAAAACUCUGUUGUUAGGGAAGAACAAGUGCUAGUUGAAUAAGCUGGCACCUUGACGGUACCUAACCAGAAAGCCACGGCUAACUACGUGCCAGCCGCCGCCGUAA
rnacentral:rRNA from 1 species